CACUGCAUCUAACAAGAAUGGAAAACCAAUAGAAAUUCCCCUAGCCUAAAUUUAUAUGGUUGGGUUGCUCGCUCGGGGUGAUGAUUAUAUUCCAGAAGGUGCAGUAGGAGAAUGCCUUCGAGGGAAAAUGGGUGGUUGAUAGAAGACUGUAUCAUCUGAGAGCUAAUUGAAGAAGAUAUAUAGGGUAGAAAGUAACUUCUAGCGAAUCUGGCUGAUGGAAUUAUCUUAAAAGAUACGAAAUCUGAAUCAAGUGCAAAUAUGAA
rnacentral:lncRNA from 1 species